rnacentral:lncRNA from 1 species
GAAAUAGGAAUUAAUGCAGACAAUGGCCUAUACUUAACUAAUCUCAAUGCCUCAGUUCCGAAUGAAUUCACAAACAUAAAAUGAAACCUAGCCGAAAGAAGAGAAUGUCACAAAUUGAAAACAAAUCAAACUCAAACCCUAUGAAACUGAUUAUCAUUUACAAUUUAGCAACAAUCUAACUAAUGAACUUGAACCAGAAACAUAAUGCAAUUAAACAAGAGACGAAACUUCUGGAAAAAAAUAGGAAGCUGGAAAAACAAACAAACAAAUAAAAAGAAAAGAUCAAUCGGAAACCAAUCGACACAAAGAAAUUAUUCUAAACCUGCCACAACAAGAACCUGUAUGAACUCGAAUAAACUCUUUGAUGAAAUGAGUGGACCUUUGACGGUCAUUAAUCGAUUGUCCUUAACAAAAGACAGAUAAUUAAUGAUUGUUUGGGUUCACUCAACUUUGCUAACCCAAAAAGAACACAAGGAGACACAUAGGGCUUUCCGAACCCUUGCUCCACUGUUGGCGAGCUAAUUUAUCUGGAAACAAGAACGAAUUUAAAGCAAGGAACAGGUGAAGGGUUAUUUAAGGUGAAGUUGGGUAGAUUUGGGGGUUUUAGGGUUAUUAGAUUUUGGAUUCUGAUUUGAAAUUCUAGCACUUGUGAUGGGAUUUGAGGGAAGUCACGUUAGGAUUUGGAAUAGGGAGGGUGAGAAGGAUCUGAGGUGUUAAGAUGGGGGUGAUUGGAGUUGUCACCGUUGGCGGAGGAGGCUGAAAUUUGAGGGCGGCAUCUCUAAGGUUAGAGGCUUGGAGACUAUGAGUAUUCAUAGGGAGUUCUGAGGGGGUGAGGGCAUUUCGA